CCAAGACAUGUCUCUCACUACAGGUGUACAUGGACAUCUCCCAAGACAUGUCUCUCUCUACAGGUGUACAUGGACAUCUCCCAAGACAUGUCUCUCUCUACAGGUGUACAUGGACAUCUCCCAAGACAUGUCUCUCUCUACAGGUGUACAUGGACAUCUCCCAAGACAUGUCUCUCUCUACAGGUGUACAUGGACAUCUCCCAAGACAUGUCUCUCUCUACAGGUGUUCAUGGACAUCUCCCAAGACAUAUCUCUCAUUACAGGUGUACAUGGACAUCUCCCAAGACAUGUCUCUCUCUACAGGUGUACAUGGACAUCUCCCAUGACAUGUCUCUCUCUACAGGUGUACAUGGACAUCUCCCAAGACAUGUCUCUCUCUACAGGUGUUCAUGGACAUCUCCCAAGACAUAUCUCUCAUUACAGGUGUACAUGGACAUCUCCCAAGACAUGUCUCUCUCUACAGGUGUACAUGGACAGAGCCUAAGCUACCUUGUGUUUAUAUCUCGUUGUUGUGAUUUGUUCCCUUCAGAAAUCAAUUACUUAUUACACAUGGCACAAUGUACAUACAAUAAGAACAUUCAGGCAAGAAAUAUGGAGCCUGUCAAGAACUGAAAAAAACAUUUUGUCAUGUUUUGCAAAAACAAAGAUAACAUUUUUUCAAUAAAUAGUUUAGCUUGACAAAA
rnacentral:misc_RNA from 1 species